rnacentral:rRNA from 1 species
GUCCACGGCCACGCCACCCUGAACGCGCCCGAUCCCGUCCGAUCUCGGAAGCUAAGCAGGGUCGGGCCUGGUUAGUACUUGGAUGGGAGACCACCUAGGAAGACCAGGUGCUGUAGGCU